GGAAACCUUCCUGUUAAUAUCACCAUAUUCCAAGCAAGUGAAUGUGUUGUGUGAUGCAAAUAACUGCAGAGUAAUAAUUAUAAGUAAUAAGCAGUUUUAAUCUUGUACCCCCCCCUCCAGUUCCCUUCUCCUGCUUGGAGAGCUGAGUGGUGUGAGUGGGUGUGGUGACCGAGUGUCCUCCCUCCUCCCCCUCUAUGCUGAGACACUACGACACAGACACUACCCUCAACACAUCAAUCUCCUGGAAACACUGCUCAAACUGAGCAGUGACAAUUCCUUGAUGCAGUCUAGACUGCUGGAGUGGAAUGUACGUUUCACCUCACUCUGUAAGCUGCUAGGGAAAAUGAUCCUCAGAGAAAAACAUAAUCCAACGUGAACAAGGAUUGUCUGAAACCAUAUGUGGGACGACUGUUCCUUCUCCUGCUUGGAGAGCUGAGUGGUGUGAGUGGGUGUGGUGACCGAGUGUCCUCCCUCCUCCCCCUCUGUGCUGAGACACUACAACACAGACACUACCCUCAACACAUCAACCUCCUGGAGACACUGCUCAAACUGAGCACUGCUCGAGUGGACUGUCUCACCUCACUCUAUCAGCUGUGGGAAAAAUGAUCCUCAGAGAAACACAAUCCAAUGUGAGCAUUUGAAUAAUAUCUACGUAGCUACAUGUACAUGACUUAUGCCAACAACUCUGUUUACAUUGUUACCUGAGGCCCUACCGCAGCCAGCGGGUAUAGUAGUCUGUUGGUUUGUUUGUAAUGUGUGGGUCUGCUUACCUGGAUGCCAUAGCACUGCGUUUACAGCAUGGAUAGCCUUAACACAACAGUUCAUUAUUUAAUAGUGGCAGAUUUUUAUGUUAAAAUCACAAGCCAGGAGAGGCGUGGGAGAGAAUGAGAGGUGAGGGUGUGUGAUGUGUGUGGAUAUGCUAUGUGAUUGAGGGUGUAGUGGGGUAUGGGAUAAAGGUAUGUUGAUGUUGUGUAGAUUAGGUGUACUGAUCAUGUACAAAGAUGUGAUAUUAUAAGGUACAUUUAUAGAUGUGAUAAUUAUGUCUGUCCAUGUGGUAUAAUUAUAUGGUGGGUCACUGAUACACUGUGAGUCCAAAUGAGGAGGGGAGGAUGUAUGGACUCAUACUAUCACAAGCCAGGAAAGCCGUGGGAGAAGAGUGAGGUUGCCUGCCCAAGUCGCUGGGUGAGGGAGUGUUUAAGAGACACUUCGAGCUGCAUCUUCUAUGGACUGAGCAGUGGCAAUGCCCUGGUACAGUCUGCUGGAGUGGACUGUCUCUAUCAGCUGCUGGGGAGAACGAUCCUCAGAGAGAAAAUAGAACAACAUAAUCCAAUGAAUCUUGACAAGUCUGAAAGAACAGUAUACAAUGUACAAUUAUAUAGCUUGUUGUUUUUCUUACAAAGCAAUAUAAUUAUGUGUACGUUUACUCUUUGUUCAUCAGUUUAAAUAUGUGAACAGAUGCAGCUAUUGUUUGCAUUGUUCUCAAUUAUACAUAUCCAAUGCUGAAUAUAAACAAUGCUGAAUAUA